CGCGGCCUAUCAGCUUGUUGGUGGGGUAAUGGCCUACCAAGGCUUCGACGGGUAGCUGGUCUGAGAGGACGAUCAGCCACACUGGGACUGAGACACGGUCCAGACUCCUACGGGAGGCAGCAGUAGGGAAUAUUGCGCAAUGGGGGCAACCCUGACGCAGCAACGCCGCGUGUGGGAUGAAGGCUUUCGGGCUGUAAACCACUUUCAGUGAUGACGAAAUUGACGGUAGUCACAGAAGAAGGUCCGGCCAACUACGUGCCAGCAGCCGCGGUAAUACGUAGGGACCAAGCGUUGUCCGGAAUUAUUGGGCGUAAAGAGCUCGUAGGCGGUUGUGUAAGUCAGAUGUGAAAACUCAGGGCUCAACCCUGAGAUGCCAUUCGAUACUGCGCUGACUAGAGUCCGGUAGAGGAGCAUGGAAUUCCUGGUGUAGCGGUGAAAUGCGCAGAUAUCAGGAGGAACACCAGUAGCGAAGGCGGUGCUCUGGGCCGGUACUGACGCUGAGGAGCGAAAGCAUGGGUAGCAAACAGGAUUAGAUACCCUGGUAGUCCAUGCCGUAAACGUUGGGCACUAGGUGUGGGACCUACUUAACGGGUUCCGUGCCGUAGCUAACGCAUUAAGUGCCCCGCCUGGGGAGUACGG
rnacentral:rRNA from 1 species